rnacentral:lncRNA from 1 species
CUGUAAUGUGUUGUACCCCCUAGCAUAUGUUAUCAUUGUCUAUUGUAUGUAUACAGAAUUUUCUAUACUGGUAAUAUAUAUUUUUUUUAAAGAAUGAAUAUAAAAAAUAUAUAUAUUAAAAAUGAAUAAAUAAAUAACAAAAAAUAACACGUUUUGAAAUCAGUGGAACACAACAGGCCAAACAAGCUGUGCAAACUAAACUGAAACAACACAGGAUGUUUUAUAAAGGGGUUGCAGUCUGCCGUGAAGCUUUCAUCCAUGUAUACAGCAAUCAGUAGAACACGCCUGAGUCUAAUCCACCAGUCAUACAGUCAUCAAAAAAAGAGCUGGCACAAGCAAGCAAAGGCAGCAGCACUGUCAUCAAUUACAUGGACCAUUUCUUCACCAACUAUGGAGUUGGGAAAACACGUGUGGACCUGAAUUGUGAUAACUGCAGUGGCCAAAACAAGAACACGUUUUUGCUCUGGUAUUGUGCCUGGCGGACCAUGCACAAGCUCCACCACAAUCUGGACCUCCACUUCCUGAUCACAGGCCACACCAAGUUUGCCCCCGACUGGUACUUCGGGCCUCAUCAAGCAGUGCUUUCGAAGAUCACUUUGUCUGAGAUUGCUUGUGUUGUGAAGGACAGCACUGUGACAGGGGCCAACAUCCCACAGCUGGUUGGACUGGAGGAUGGUACGGUGCUGGUGGAAAUCUAUGGCUGGCAACAUCACCUGACUCCGUACUUCAGACCGCUGCUACAGAUCAAGCAGUACCAGCACUUCAGCUUCGAUGCUCUGGAGCCUGGUGUUGUCUCCAAGGAGCGUUCAGACUGUCCUGACCAGGUUUCAGUUGCUGAGCAACGCUGACAUCCUUCCUCCCAUAGAUGGUCUGCCUGUAAAAGCACCACCUGGACUGGACACAGCUAGACAAAGAGGCUAUGUGACGAAGAGGCUAUGGACAUCACAUGCCCUGCACCAAAGUCAAGGGCAGGACAGAAACAGGCUCUCUGAACAUAGAUUCCCUUGUUCAUGCGUGGUUUGGACGGACCAGUCAUCAGCAAUAUCUGCAGUGCCUCUAUUCAAAUGACUCUCUCCUAACACACACACCACACAUCUUCUGUAGAGACCCAUCCGCUUAGCAAGACUUAGCAAAAUAUUGAUAUAUGAGAUUAAUAUUGAUAUGUGGGGUCGUAACAUGAUUUUGUGACAUACCACAACAAUAUCAUGUGACCGUAUCAAGUGUCCACCACAAAUAUAUGGCGCAUGCAUCUGUUUAUGUACAUGUGAUGAAAACAACCUCACUCAGUGUCACACCCUGAUCUAUUUCACCUGUCCUUGUUAUUGUCUCCACCCCCUCCAGGUGUCGCUUGUUUUCCCCAGUGUAUUUAUCCCUGUGUUUCCUGUCUCUCUGUGCCAGUUCGUCUUGUAUGUUUCCAAGUCAACCAGUGUUUUUCCCCGUUCUCCUGCCUUUGCUAUUCUCCUUUUUCUAGUCCUCCCGGUUUUGACCCUUGCCUGUUCUGGACUCUGUACCCGCCUGCCUGACCAUUCUGCCUGCCUUGACUUCGAGCCUGUCUGCCACUCUGUACCUCCUGGACUCUGAUCUGGUGUUUACCUUUUGCCUGUCCACGACCAUUCUCUUGGCUACUUUUUGGAUUAUUAUUAAACAUCUAAGACUCCAACCAUCUGCAUCUGGGUCUCGCCUUGUGUCAUGAUACUCAGGUUGCAUGGCCGUAACUUAUGUAUGGAAUACUAUGUCAUAAGUGCAUGUGCAACAGUAUUUAUAGUAUGCUGGUAUGAAGGAAUUUGGGCAGUGUAGUAAAAAUACUUUAAAGUACUACUUAAGUAGUUUUUUGUGGUAUCUUUACUAUUUAUAUUUUUGCCAACUCUUACUUCACUACAUUUGUAAAGAAAAUAAUGUACUUUUUACCCCAUAAAUUUUUCUUUGACACCCAAAAGUACUCGUUACAUUUUGACAGGAAAAUUGUCCAAUUCACACACUUAUCAAGAGAACAGCCCUGGUCAUCCCAUAUACUGCCUCUGAUCUGGCAGACUCACUAAACACAAAUGCUUUGUUUGUAAAUUAUGUCUGAGUGUUGGAGUGUACCCCUGGCUCGGCAUCAAUAAAAAAAUAAUUAAAUUGUGCUGUCUGGUUUGCUUAAUAUAAGGAAUUUGAAAC